rnacentral:rRNA from 1 species
UACAGAGGGUGCAAACGUUGUUCGGAUUUACUGGGCGUAAAGCGCGUGUAGGCGGCUAUGUAAGUCGGGCGUGGAAGCCCACGGCUCAACCGUGGAAGUGCACCCGAAACUGCGUAGCUAGAGUCCUGGAGAGGAAGGUGGAAUGCUUGGUGUAGAGGUGAAAUUCGUAGAUAUCAAGCGGAACACCGGUGGCGAAGGCGGCUUCCUGGACCGACACUGACGCUGAGGCGCGAAAGCGUGGGGAGCAAACAGG